CCUACGGGAGGCUGCAGUGGGGGAUAUUGCACAAUGGGGGGAACCCUGAUGCAGCGACGCCGCGUGGGUGAAGGAGCGUUUCGGCGCGUAAAGCCCUAUCGGUAGGGAAGAAGAUAACGGUACGUGACCAAGAAGCCCCGGCUAACUACGUGCCAGCAGCCGGGGUAAUACGGAGGGGGCAAGCGUUAUCCGGAUUUACUGGGGGUAAAGGGGGCGCAGACGGGAAUGCAAGACAGGAGUGAAAGCCCGGGGCCCAACCCCGGGACUGCUCUUGAAACUGCAAGGCUGGAGUACAGGAGAGGCAGGCGGAAUUAGUAGAGUAGCGGUGAAAUGCGUAGAUAUUAGGAGGAACACCGGUGGCGAAGGCGGCCUGCUGGACUGUGACUGACGUUGAGGCCCGAAGGCGUGGGGAGCAAACAGGAUUAGAUACCCGGGUAGUC
rnacentral:rRNA from 1 species